rnacentral:rRNA from 1 species
UACGUAGGCAGCGAGCGUUGUUCGGAAUUACUGGGCGUAAAGCGCGCGCAGGCGGCGAUCUACGUCUGGGGUGAAAGCCCGGAGCUCAACUCCGGGACUGCCUUGGAUACGGGAUCGCUUGAGGAUUGGAGAGGCAAGGGGAAUUCCACGUGUAGCGGUGAAAUGCGUAGAUAUGUGGAGGAACACCUGUGGCGAAGGCGCCUUGCUGGCCAAUUUCUGACGCUGAGGCGCGAAAGCGUGGGGAGCAAACAGG